rnacentral:rRNA from 1 species
GAUGAACGCUGGCGGCGUGCCUAAUACAUGCAAGUCGAGCGAACAGAUGAGGAGCUUGCUCCUCUGACGUUAGCGGCGGACGGGUGAGUAACCCGUGGAUACCCUACCUAUAAGACUGGGAUAACUUCGGGAAACCGGAGCCAAUACCGGAUAAUAUAUUGAACCGCAUGGUUCAAUAGUGAACGACGGUUUUGCUGUCACUUAUAGAUGGAUCCGCGCCGCAUUAGCUAGUUGGUAAGGUAACGGCUUACCAAGGCAACGAUGCGUAGCCGACCUGAGAGGAUGAUCGGCCACACUGGAACUGAGACACGGUCCAGACUCCUACGGGAGGCAGCAGUAGGGAAUCUUCCGCAAUGGGCGAAAGCCUGACGGAGCAACGCCGCGUGAGUGAUGAAGGUCUUCGGAUCGUAAAACUCUGUUAUUAGGGAAGAACAAAUGUGUAAGUAACUAUGCACGUCUUGACGGUACCUGAUCAGAAAGCCACGGCUAACUACGUG